GUUGUUGAAGGUGGGAAGGAGAAUGUCUGCGAAUGCAUAGAAUAAACUAUGUGAGAGGAUGAGUGCGUGGGUGAAGAGGAGGAGGGCAAGAAAGACGAAGAGGAAGAGGAAGACAAAGAGUGGAAAUAUUUGAUGGAAUUCGAGCAACAGUUAUAGACCACGUUCUUGUCCAUGGACUUACAAUGAGGGGAGCAGGACUUAGAGUGCAACCCAAUUUGAGCUGAUUUUCUGUGUCCACCAUAGUAAGGACAUUCAGAGAAGAGAACAGAAUUGCAAGGCUGCCACAUGCAGGUGGAAGGACAGGUAUAUUCACUCGGGAGCAAGAGGCCAUUAUAGUUGGCAUGGUCCUUCAAGAUAAUGCAAUACGACUCAGAGAAAUCCAGGAAUGAGUGAUACGAGACAACACACACUUCCAGGGAAUCGACAGUGUGAGCAUUUCCACAAUUGACCGUGUCCUCCAUCGUAACAGGAUGCGAAUGAAACAAGUAUACAGAGUACCUUUUGAGCGCAACUCACCAAGAAUGAAAGAACUGUGAGCUCAGUAUGUACAAAGAUAAAGCUACAGGACAAAGAUAUCUACACCUGUGUGGCUGCCAACCCAGUCAGCAACCAGACAACCAAACUCAACGUUGAGGAGCACUGUCCUCAGUAUGUAGAUUCCUGUGCCUGGUGCAUCAGCCUGACUGAGUUGGUUGUGCGAUUGGUUCUGUCGGCUCUGGUGGAUGUGGACAUGACUGUUUUGCUGUUUCAUUACUUCAGACAAAAAAGACACUCUCAGGCUCAGCCCUGACUGUCUCAUCACAUGCCCCAGUACCACUUCUGUGUAGUGCUGCACAACAUGUUACUUGGGGAGAGUCUAUUCAAUUCUAUUCUACCAUUCUGUUCUGGUUUGUUCAGUUCUAUCCGACUUCUCGAUCACCCAACGUGUUUUUGGUUCAGUCACUCUCACAGCUUUGUCAGGAUUCAGAAGACUUUUAAAAAGCCUACGCUUCUGAAGUAAAUAUGCAAUGUCAUGUCACUGCUUUCAUUGUACAUAACACAUGUAUGUAGAUUGAUGCUUCUUUUGUAAAAAAAUUCUGCUGCAUUGUUAAUGAUCUUAAUUCACAAACAUCAAUGCUUAUGUGUGAGACUCAUCCAAUGCAGACCUGUCAUUGUCUUACU